CUCUCUCUCUCUCGACUUCAUUACGUUGGACAUAAUGCAUCUCUUUCUCAAAGAAAUCGUAUGUCGCUACUCAUUAUUCCGAUCUCCGAAUUAUACCGAACACUUCCGAUUACAUUAUUUACAUUUCCGAAGGUACAACCUGUGGUACAAACUUGUGGCGGGUGGAAGUGAAAACGAAUUAGCUGUUUAAUGCAUAAUUUAAAAUGUUUAACUCUUUAACUAUCGCACCACUCAAACUCAUCACCCGGUCCGAUCGUGGCUCUCGCGCCGCUUUGUUUUCCCACCAAAUCCCUUAUCAACGACUGGCUCAUUUUUAGUCGUAUAAAUAGGUAUAAACUGUUUCGGAGUUCUCUAAUGGAAUAAAAGUUGAUUUACAGGUAAUCUAAAUAAUAUAAUUAUUUUAACAGUCAAAAAAGCUGCCCUUGACGUAACCUCAAACAAGGAACUGGAAAUGAAUUUCACAUAAAACUAUGAUUCAACAUAGUUCACCAACAAAAUAAAAGAAAAUAGUACCAUAGGACUGAGAAUUUUACAACAGUGUGACGAAGGCUUAUUGUGGCUGUUUUUCAAUUCAAAGUUCGACCCCCGACUUUGAUAUCAUACUACAACGAUUGAAUACUACAACGAUUGAAGAUGUAUCGAAGAUUACUUUUAACGAUUUUUUUAAUAAAAUUUUAAAUUUUUGAAA